rnacentral:lncRNA from 1 species
GCUAUAUGGCAUUUCUUGCACCUGAGUAUUACAAAGAAUCUCCAGCUCCAGUACGAUUCAAUUUUCUGAACAAAGUAGGGACAAAUUUGCUAACAGUGAGGAGUGUAUGGAAUGGGUACUGAAGUGAGGUCUGAGACCCAUAAAAUCAUUUUUUAAAUAUAGAGUCAUAGACUCAUGAAAUCAAAGAAUGUUGAUGUUGGAAGGGACCUGCUGCUGACUCCAGUUGAAGCUUCACUGUACCCCUUUGCGUGUAUUUUUAAAAUGAGAAUAAAUGAAGCUCAGAGAGGCCAAGGGUUGCUUCCAGGGCCACACAGCUUAGCAGAGCUUCAGCUUGUUCUCUCUUAUUCUGCCUUCAGUUGGAAGAGACACCCUUUCCAGCAGCCCCCACGGGGGAUCACUGUGCUGAGUACACCCCUUGCCCACCCUGUUGCUCCACACGGGUCUCACCACAGAAGCUUGAGCAGUCCAGCUCCCUACCCACAGCUGACCUCCAGCAACCGAAAGGAGGAGGCUCAGCUUUGGACCUGGUUCCUGGCCCCACCUGACUCCAGGAGGCUGUCCAGAAUAGAACCAGGAGGAUGCUGGUUUCAGCUGGGAAGAGCCAGCAAAAAAAAAAAAAAAAAAAGAAAGAAAGAAGUGAGAAGGCUCACGGGCUCCCAUUCCUUUCCAUCCCCUUCACUCACACAAGAGGAAACUGAGGCCUCCCAGCAGGUCAGGGACUUGCCCAGCCACCUAGGGCGUCUAAGUCAACAGGAAAAGGCUGCUCAUUCUGGUUUUUCUUUUUCCCCAGGCUGGAGUGCAGUGGCAUAAUCUUGGCCACUGCAACUUCCGCCUCCCAUGUUCAAGCAAUUCUCCUGCCUCAGCCUCCCAAGUAACUGAGAUUACAGGCUCCCGCCACCAUGCCCAGCUAAAUUUUUUUUUAUAUUUCAAGUAGAGAUUGGAUGUCACCCUGUUGGCCAGGCUGGUCUUGAACUCCUGACCUCACGUGAUCCACUCACCUCAGCCUCCCAAAAUACUAGGAUUACAGGCAUGAGCCACUGCGCCCAGCCCAAUUAAAAAUUUAAUAGGCCUGUUUAGAAAUAGAGAAUUCUGUCUUUAAUUUUUAACACAUACACACA